UUCUAGAAGCAGAACUGACAAGACUGGCAACUGAUUGAAUAGAUGGGAUGAGUGAAAAUGUGUGAGCUGAGGAGCCCAGGGUAACUGAAGUUAUACAGGAUGUACGAGAGCAGAAACAGAAAGCAAAGCAGCUCAAUUCUUCGACUGUGGGGAUUCUGUGAUAGAUAUUUCAAAUCAGAAAGGUCAGAAAAAAUGACUUAUAUAAAUAUACAUAUACAUAUAUAUAUAUAAGAUUAGUCUAUAUAUAGGUUUAUAUAUGUCUGUAUAUAAGAUUAGAGUAAGACAGCACUAAUUGCUCUUAAUUAAUUCACUUGCUUUAAAAUAAAUUACAUCCCCAGACAUUUGAAAGAAUUGGUAGAUGUGAUUGUUGAGCUACCAUCAAUGAUUUCUAAAAGA